rnacentral:lncRNA from 7 species
GCGAAAAAUAAAAACUAACGAGGAUUGCUCUCCCCCACGUUAAUGGCCGCGCACGGGGGGAUGUAGCGCGGAGGAUCCUGCCCGGGCUGCGCCGCGCCGCGCCGCGCCGUAAUGAAGGCGCGGGCCCUUUGAUCCGGGCUUCUGCAGGCUGCCUCUCUUUUCUUAGUUCCCUCUGCUUCCCUUUUCUGCACCCUUAAAUAUGAAUGGUGAACCGAGAAGAGAGGAGGCCAAGAGGAAAAUGUGUCUUACUGAGACUUGCCAGCUAUCCAAGUUGCAUGCAGAGAGACAGUUCCAGCUCAUGCGUCUGGCUCGGACAGCAGCAUCGGCUAUCAAACACCCUGUUGCCUGCCUUGCUCCAGGCUGGAGUAACUGCUAUGCAGGUGGUGCCAGGCUUAUUCCCUGUGGAAGCCAUCUCAAGACCAGCUAUUGCACUAUGAAUCCCUUCUGCCUUGGAGGAUAACCUGCCCUGGUCUUAGCAUCCGUCAUCCUGCAGCCACCAGGAGAGGGGUAACUCCUGACACUGCUCAUACUUUCAUGCUGGACUGUCCCCUUUUUUUUUAUUAUACUAAAGGACAGGAAAGGAAUGUGCCAUGGUUUCAUUACUUUUGAGGAGGAAAAACAGCAACAAAGAAAAGAAAAUAGCACUCCAGUGCAAAUAUCCAGAUUUGCAACAUCCCUUGAUUUUUGUCAACAAUUAACAGAAGUGUGAUACUGGAGGCUUUUAUUAAUUGAAUAAAGCCUAGUUUUAUUUUUCUUUUCAAAAUCAUUAUCAUAUAUAUGUAUUUUUCCUUCUUUGUGUUGAAAUUGGUGAGGGUCAUCAGUACUGGCAACAGGCCUGAUGUUGUCAAGUGCUGCACUCCCCUUAACAUCAAUAGAGCCUGAAGAGUAACAAACUUGAUGCAAGAGGAGGCCUCAGAGGAGAUUGCCCUGAAGCAAAUAAAAAUUACAUCCUC